rnacentral:rRNA from 1 species
UACGAAGGGGGCUAGCGUUGCUCGGAAUCACUGGGCGUAAAGGGCGUGUAGGCGGUCUGUUAAGUCUGAUGUGAAAUCCCCUCGCUCAACGAGGGAACUGCGUCGGAUACUGACAGACUCGAGUACCGGAGAGGAAGGUGGAAUUCCCGGUGUAGCGGUGAAAUGCGUAGAUAUCUGGAGGAACACCGGUGGCGAAGGCGGCAUCCUGGACCAACACUGACACUGAGGAGCGAAAGCGUGGGGAGCAAACAGG